UACGAAGGGGGCUAGCGUUGCUCGGAAUGACUGGGCGUAAAGGGCGCGUAGGCGGCUCAUACAGUCAGAUGUGAAAUUCCUGGGCUUAACCUGGGGGCUGCAUUUGAUACGUGUGGGCUUGAGUGGGGAAGAGGGUCGUGGAAUUCCCAGUGUAGAGGUGAAAUGCGUAGAUAUCGGGAGGAACACCUGUGGCGAAGGCGGCCCCCUGGUUGGAUACUGACGCUGAUACGCGAAAGCGUGGGGAGCAAACAGGG
rnacentral:rRNA from 1 species